rnacentral:rRNA from 1 species
AUGGAGGGCGUGGCAGGGCUGAUGCGUGGGUUGAAGCUGUCCGAUGAGGAGAAGAAAGGAGUGACGAUCCGGUUCUCGACGAAGGAGAAGGGCAAGGAGGCGGCGAUCCAGGACGUGGGGAAGAUCAUGUCUGAAAAAUUGGCUCACCCAGAUGCGAUCUCUCUCACCUUGGGGAAGGUGUGGUGCCCGAUUAAGGGGAUCACCUGCACAGAGAUAGGGGUAAACAAGUUCCUCUUCACGUUUCAUCAGGAAUCGGGAAAGCGGAAGGCUGUGGAGGACGGGCCGUGGAUGUUUGAUAAGGAUUUGGUGGUACUAGAGGCGUACGUGCCUAGUAAGCAGCCGGAAGAUUACGUCUUCAAUGACAUCCCGAUCUGGGUUAGAGUUUUUAACCUCCCAUUGGGC